rnacentral:lncRNA from 1 species
GUUGGAUGAAAGUUGUUGAGAAAUCAAAGAAUAUUAGGUUACUGGAUGAGAGGAAGACGCCUAUGUUGGUGAAUUGGGCUGAACAAUUCCAAGCUCACGAAGUUGUCAAGGGAAUGAUACCCGAACCAGACAAGUUGUCUAAGACAAUUGAUGAAAAAACAAUAGACGAUUCCAAACAACAAGAUGAAAUUGAUCGAGCAUUUAUCUAUGCUAGGCAAUUGACGUUCAAUCAUGCUCUCUCAAUGACCUUGAAAGUUGUCAUUGAACUGGGUGUGCUUGAUGUUAUUGCGAAUGCUGGUUUCGACAAAUUCCUCUCCCCAAAAGAGAUAGCAAGUGAAUUAUCGAUUGUCAACCCUGAUGCUCCCAUCAUGCUCAAUCGCAUGCUUAGACUACUUGCCAGCCACAAUAUCGUCAUCUGCAAAUCAAAAUCAUAUAGUAAUUGUGAUGAAAACACCAUAGUUGGUACUACGUUAUAUGGUAUUGGCCCUAUAUCUAAGUAUUUUGUCAAAAAUGAGGAUGGUGUUUCACUAGCUCCCAUGCUUGCCGCAAUCCAAGAUAAGGUUUACAUGAAAAGUUGGUAAGCUAUUUUUUUAUCAUCUUUAAUUCCAACUUUAAGAAAUCAAUCAUAACAUGUUAUAUUUAUAGGAAAACAUAAGAUAGUUUGAGACAUUUGAAACUAGGCCGUCCAUUUGAGAUAUGUAUCAUAUUAUACUUAUAUUUAAUCAUAUUAUACUUAUAUUUAAUCAUAUUAAAGAAACCAUUAGAUUUAAAAUUAACGACAUAAAUAUUGAAGAUAUCUCUUAUAAUAUCUCAAGAUUUUUUUUAUAGGUACUACUUGAAAGAAGCAGUGAUGACAGGUGGUAUUCCAUUCAACAUGGCGUACGGAAUGUCAGCUUUUGAGUAUCAUAGUAUAGAUGUGAGGUUCAAUAAUCUAUUUAAUAAAGCAUUUUUUAAUAUGACAAUCCUUAUGAAGAAAAUUCUUCAUUUAUAUAAUGGAUUUGAGAGUAUCAACAAAUUGGUUGAUGUUGGUGGGGGCACUGGAGCCAAUCUAAACAUCAUAAUCUCGCAACAUCCAACCAUAAAGGGUGUCAACUUCGACCUUCCUCAUGUCAUCAAAAAUGCCCCCUUAUUUAAAGGUAACAUAAUAUAUCCAGAAUCAGUAUAUAAUUGAAUGUUUUGCGGAAACUAAUUAUGUAUGAUUGUGUUCUGUUUUACAGGAGUGAAACAUGUUGGCGGAGACAUGUUUGAGAAGGUUCCUAGUGGUGAUGCCAUUUUUAUGAAGGUAUAUAUCUUAAACUGGCCUUUAAUUUUCCAUAUAUUGAUUCUAACCCAGAUAAGUACAUCACUGUUUUGUUUUAUGCAGUUUAUCCUACAUGAUUGGAGCGACGAUCAUUGUGUGAAGUUAUUGAAGAAUUGUUGGAAACAACUUCCAAAAAAUGGAAUGGUUAUCGUCUGUGAAUUUACUAUUCCCGUUGAACCACAAGAAGAUAAUUCAGCUUUCUAUAGUGAUAUGUCGAUGUUGACACUAAAUCCGGGAGGUAAGGAGAGGACUGAAAGUGAAUAUAGUUUACUGGCGAAGAAAGCAGGAUUUGUCGAUUUCAAAGUUGCAUGUGAUGUAUAUGGAAUGUACAUCAUGGAAUUCAGUAAGUAGUUGCACGCCCAAAUUUCUUCCUUAUGUGGAAAUACUAAAUAAAAUUAAAGCUUAUAUACACAACUUGAUUAGUCCAGUUGGUAACUAUCACUAUUAAGGUGGACGAACUGUUAAAGGUCCAGGGUUUGAGUCUCAAUGUAUGUAUUUUAAUUUAUAUUUACUUUUGUAUCAGUUUAUCAAAAAAUAAAAAUGUUUGCAAUAUAUAUAUAUAGAGAAAAAAUCAGGAACGACCCUGAUCGCACGGUGCCCUAAAACGGUACCUGCCCCCUCCGCCUUGCGAUUCCACAUCCACGGUCGUCUCCUCUCCAAGCCAACGUAUCUACCGAUGGCCAAUCUACCUCUAACAGAGUAAUGUGAGAUACUGUCAGUAACUGCGAUUUCGGUCCCGCAACAGAGUAACUGCGAUUUCGGUUCCGCGGAACCCAUCGCGAGUUCCGCGGAACUCGAUCGCGGUUCUGCGGAACUCGAUUUCGCAGAACCGGAACCGAAAUCGCGAUAGUGAGGGCCUCUGACACUGGCAGUGUGCCGGAAACGAAUCUUGCUGCGAAGAAGCCAAAGAUCUUAGUUGCCGGAGGCGGAAUCGAUUUGAGUACCAACUGCACAAACAUCGGUUGGUGUUCUUUUCCACCACUGGAAGCCUCAAUUGCUUUUUUCCCAACAAUCAUCUUGGUUUUGUGGUUGAAAUAACGCAGACCCCAAAGACCUUUAUUCAGAGCAGUUGAACUCGCACCCAAUUUUGAUGCAUACAUCUCUGCAAACUGAGCAAUGCCGAAUCCCCAACCAUCUAGCGCACAGACGAAGACCACAUUUCCUUUCUGUGGCUGGAACGUAUCUGCCUCAUUGUCUUCCUCCUCUACGAAUUCUUCUCCUACAGUGCUGGAUCCAGUGAUGAAGAGAUCCACAUCAGAGAGGUACUUGACAGAUUUAAACCCACUGAUAAUUCCAUUGACAUCGUGAAUAAUCCUUUGCAAUUUCGUAUAGGCUUCCAUCGGACUCAACUUUAACUCUGUGAUCAAUCGAUCGAUCUUGUUGAGGACGAGACAAGGAGUCAACUUCUCAAUCCAUGCCUGACGGAGAGCAGCAUGGGUUUGGAUAUGAACACCUUCGACGGAAACAACCAGAACCAAAGCCCCAUCACUUAAUCUGGCGGCAGUGGACACCUCGCUGCAGAAGUCGAUGUGUCCAGGGGAAUCAAUAAGGUUUAUGGAAUGUUCACCGUAUUUCAAUAAAAUAGAAGAGCUUUUCAUUGUGAUGGCUCGCCGUUGUUCCGCGGAACUCGAUCGCGGUUCCGCGGAACUCGAUCGCGGUUCCGCGGAACUCGAUCGCGGUUCCGCGGAAUCGGAAUCGGACCGCCGUGGAAUCGGAAUCGGAACGACGCGGAAUCGGAACGUCGUGGAAUCGGAAUCGGAACGACGCGAAAUCGGAAUCGGAACCGGAACCGUACGGAUCGAGGAGGGGAACGCACGGUGCGGACGGGCCGUGCCAGAUGUUUUUCCUAUAUAUAUAUACGUGUCUAUAUUUAUAUUUGUUUAAGAUGAAUGUCUAUAUACAAUUUCCAUUCUCAUAUAUACGUGUAUUAGGUCGUGGUAGGGGUGAGAAUGGUCCCGGGUCACCCCUUAGACCCGUCUCGUACGUUCCGUGUCUUGGUGGGAACAGGAUCGAGGUAGGAUUUUGCCCCGAAUUUUUUUUCCCGCCUUGUUGCUCCGGUCAUUUUAUGGAGCAGGUGUUAGGGCAGGGAAAACUAUAAUUUUCCUUUUAUUUUUAGCCUCGAUCAUAUUUUCGAGGGCGGGUCUCAGAGCUUGUAAAUGGUACAUCAAAAUUUGAAUUCGAGUUUGAAUUUUUUUAAAACUAUUUGAAUUUGGUUAUUCAAAUUUCAAAUGCGAAUUCAGUUUUCAAUUUUUGAAUCCGUGAAAUAUUUGGUCGAAUAUACGAAUUCAAUUCAACAAUUUGAGGUAUUAGACAUCUCAACUAAUGAUCAUAUAAUACAAAACACACCAAAAAAAGAGAAACAGUCCUCAAUCAACAAUGACCCAAUAACAUCAUUGGUGACUAAGAUAAGUAUCUCAGACAAACAAAAACAUUAUGAAAAAUCUACUAGUCCAAAAUAGCAAACAAAAACACUCUUCUGGACUAAUUAGAGAAUGAGAAGAACAUAUCCAAAUCUGAAUUGGGAGAGAAAAUUAAAAGCACAAAGAUGUCAAAAACAUUAAAAUCAAAAAGGUGAGAAGACCCUUCAAAAAGACCAACUAAAUAUGAUGAUAUCUAUUGUCCUAGUUUCAAAGAAACCAGAAAAUGAAAGUAUAUCAAAUCACAGGUUUAAUGAAAAACAUAAAGAUUUUGUGAAAACAAUCACAAAAGAAACAAAAUCAAAACAUUACCAUCAUGCCAAGUGUUACCCAAAAUGGCGUCAGACUAUGAAUGAGGAAAUGUUGGCUCUUAAAAAGAACAACAUAUGUUCCAUAUAUAGUACCGUUACCAUCUAACAAAAAGCCCAUAGGCUCAAGAUGGAUAAAAUAAAAUACAAAUCUGAUGAGACCAUUGAGAGAUACAAAGCUCGACUACUAACCAACUCAAUACCCAAACUAGUAUCAUUCAAAACACUAUUAACCAUAGUGGAAGACUUAAAUGAAGCUCCAUCAAAUGGAUGUAUACAAUGCAUUCUUGCGCACAUGAAGACCCAAAUGAGGAAAUAUAUAUGAUUAUAGCCCAAAUGCAUGUUCUGGAUUUUUAUGGCCAAAAGAUUUUUCAUUUUUCACAACACACCAUAAGACCAAAAACUGAUUCUUUCAACAUGCAAGGAGUAGCUCUUAAAUGAUUUUUAUGGAUGGAGUCCAGCAACUAUCUGACUACAUGGCUUGCAUUUGUCAAGUCUAUAUUAAAGAAAUUUAAUCCAACUACAUGCACCACUCCAGGUGGAAAACUCAGUAAAUUUGUUUCAAACAUCAACAGUUGCUGAUUUCAUGGAGAAAUUUGAAGAUUACUCAUCAAAAGUAAUAGGAAUCCCUGAUUAGCUAUUAUUAAAAUGUUCCUAUCAUGCCCAAAGGAUGAUAUUCAAAAAGAUGUAGUGACACAGCAAAACUUGAAGAUUUACCAGAGGCUAUGAUCAAGGUGGCUAUUCAUCUUGAAAAACAGGGAACAAGAAGCACUUCAACCUUCAAACAAGGAGGAUACAAAUCCAUCCAUGAAAGGCAAUAUAUACUACACCAAGAAUAAUAUUAAGUGAGUAUAUAACUCUAAUAUGGCCAGCAACACAAUCACCAACACUCCCAAAACAGAAAAUCUAAACCCAAAUUUCAAGAGCCUCACAUUUGCUGAGAGAAAAAAAAGAACUUCCAAAGGGUUAUGCUUUAAUUAUGAUGAAAAAUUCUCACCGAGACACAAAUGUAGAGGAAAAUUAUUCAGAUUUUCAGAUAAAAACAACACCUUCUGAGAACUAGCAGAUACAGAUGAAGGAGAAGAAGAAGCUGGAAUUAAAAUUCUGAAGAUCGAGGAAGAGUCUGAAAUCAGCCUUCAAGCAUUACAGGGAAGAAUUGGCAUAAUAAACAUCAGACUGGAAGGCUUCAUCAAAAGCUUUAAGACAGACCUUUCAAUCAAAAUGGAACAUACACAAGAAUGGUGGUAGGAUAUUGGAAUAUUAAAAUACAAAUCACUUCUUACUUUCUUUGUAGAUCUUAGAAGAUUAGAAGUACAAGUGUUGAACCGUAGAUCUCGAUCUUUUUGAAAGCUUUUUGGUGCUAGACCACAACUUGAGGGAUGAAUGAUUGAACUCAAAGAUUGAAGAUUUGAAGAGAGUUUGGAAGCUCAAAAACGUUGUAGUGUGUUGGCUUCAAAUGAUGAAAGUUUCCCUCUAUUUAUAGAAAAAUAAAUUCUUCAAAUGAUGUAGUGUGUCACUUGAUUGAAGUUUGGUUUGAGCAGUCUUGACUUUUAGAUUUUUGAACAACGGUUUUAUGUUUUCUCGCUACAGUCCAAAAACAAUUGACUUUUGAGAUUUCUUUUUUUAAUUGCCUAGGAAAUUGAUUCCUUUUGAAUAAGAGAAUGUCGGUUGACCGCAUAUUGGAUUUUGACUUUUGGCGAAUCGAAUACCUAAGUUUUUGGUUCGGUUCGUAUAAAUAAACAAGCCUACUCUUAGAUUUGAGUUCGUUUCCGAACCUAAUUCGAACUGAAUUCGAACUGAAUCCGAAACGAACCGAAUAGUUCGUCGAAUACCGAACUUUUGUUGCAAUUAUGGUAAAUUAAAUACAAUAUCAAUUUCUGCAUCUUGUAGAGAGAGAUUCCCCCUCUUUUCUCUAUAACAUAUUAUUCACUAUUAAUGAUCCAAUAAUAGUACUAUAUAAUCCAAGCUAUCUUAAUCAUAAUGAUCAAAAAAUCCCAGAGGCCCACUCCUUUUUUUUUCCACCUACUCUACUAAGGGUGAGAAUAGAUCCCGAUCCGUCCCGUUUCACGUCCCGAUCGUCAAGACAGAAAAGUAGGGUACCUGACCGGUCCGUUUUGGAAAAACGGGACGGGACCACCCCACCCCACCCGCGAUUCGUCCCAUUCUCAUCUCUACCUACUACGUACUCAAUAAUUGGAUCAAUGCUUCUUCAAUCUCGAUAAAAUAUAUUAUUUAUGAUUCAAAUGAUAGAGAUAUUUUAAAAACUUUACAAAAUUUAGAUUUUUUAUUCAAUUUGUGUAAGUUAAAAUUCAAGUUCGAACCCAAGCUUGUCGAUUUUGCUAAUGAAACGAGUGGUUGAGGAAUUGUCCAGGAAGAUAAAACCUUAUGGUUUUACUAGUUUUUCAUUUCUUCUUUCCUCUUCAAUUAUUCAGACCACUUGGACAUAUUCCGAGCCACAUACAAAUUCAGAAAUUUGUACCUAAUUCAACUAUAAAUAGAUGAAGAUUGUAGUGUUCUUCACCAUCAAUUGCGAAAACUUAAAUUCUAUGGAGAAAGAAGAAGCAAGGCUUGUGGGUUUUUCGGCAAGUCCAUUUGUGUUAAGAACAAUAAUAGCCUUGAAGAUCAAAGGAAUUCCAUAUGAGUUUGUUGACGGAGAUAAGAGAAACGAGUUUCCAACACUUCUUCACGCUGGUAAUGUCGUAUCAAAGUCUUUCAAAAUAGUUGAGUACCUUGAUGCAACAUGGAAGGCCGAGGAUCGCCCUCUCAUCUUGCCGGUCGAUCCUUACGACCGUACUAUUGUGCGAUUUUGGGCUACAUAUAUUGAUGACAAGGUAUAUAAUUAUGUAAGCAUUUAUAUUUUAGUUAGAUAUGCAAACAUGUUUGUAAGUCUUUUUUACCCAUCUAGUUAAUUAAGGUAGAUAAAAACCCGAACCAAGACUUUUAGUUUCGAUUUGGUUCAACGAUCUUAUAAUUAAAUUUUUAGACCCAAAAUCUUAUAAUUAAAUCAUAAUUAAAUUAAGUUUAAAAAGUAAUAAUCUAUUAAAUGUUAUUAAUUUAAAUCAGUGACAUGAUUUUUUACCGGUUAAAAGAUAAGAAAGACCGACCGAGGUUUUUCACCCCAACUCAUAUCUUAAAAGUACAUCCUCUAAAGAUACGUAUGAUCAAUAUGGGAUAGGUAGAGUAGAAAAUAUAAAAUGAAAAUAAUGUAGGUAAACUAGCUUUAGGACUGGGGGCAAAUGCACAUCACCAAAAUUUAAGGUUUAGAGGGGAGUAGUAUAUAUGUUCAAUCUACCUUCUUUUUGAAAAUCAAUAAAUUUACAACUGAUUUCAAAUUAAAAAAAAUACUAAUUUCAAUUAGUGGGAUCCACCUGCGGAAUUGGUCCUAGCUAGAUUAACAAUUUAAUGGUUAUGGGCUUGGUCUGUUUUAGAAACAAACUAGUUCUAAUUAAAACCAGCAAACCAUGCCCAUUAUGCAAAUUCACCUAUAUCUAUUAUAAAUCAAUUCUACCCAGAAUUCCAUGAUUAUUUAUUUAUUUACUUAUUUUUCUUGCAGAUUUUAUCGGCCAUGAAAUUGAUAAUAAAAGGAUCGACAAAGAAGAUUGAAGAAGAAUUUCAUGAGGCAAUGCAGGUUUUGGAAAGUGUUUUCAAAAAUGAAAGUCAAGGUCAAAGCUUCUUUGCAAAGGGAAAUAUCGGAUAUAUUGACAUAUCUUUGGGGUCAAUAUUGGGUUGGAUGAAAGUUGUUGAGAAAUCAAAGAAUAUUAGGUUACUGGAUGAGAGGAAGACGCCUAUGUUGGUGAAUUGGGCUGAACAAUUCCAAGCUCACGAAGUUGUCAAGGGAAUGAUACCCGAACCAGACAAGUUGUCUAAGACAAUUGAUGAAAAAACAAUAGACGAUUCCAAACAACAAGAUGAAAUUGAUCGAGCAUUUAUCUAUGCUAGGCAAUUGACGUUCAAUCAUGCUCUCUCAAUGACCUUGAAAGUUGUCAUUGAACUGGGUGUGCUUGAUGUUAUUGCGAAUGCUGGUUUCGACAAAUUCCUCUCCCCAAAAGAGAUAGCAAGUGAAUUAUCGAUUGUCAACCCUGAUGCUCCCAUCAUGCUCAAUCGCAUGCUUAGACUACUUGCCAGCCACAAUAUCGUCAUCUGCAAAUCAAAAUCAUAUAGUAAUUGUGAU